GACGAACGCUGGCGGCGUGCUUAACACAUGCAAGUCGAACGGUGAACUCCGCUUGCGGGGGGAUCAGUGGCGAACGGGUGAGUAACACGUGGGCAACCUGCCCUCAGCUCUGGGAUAACUCCAAGAAAUUGGGGCUAAUACCGGAUAUGACCGCUGACCGCAUGGUCUGGUGGUGGAAAGAUUUAUCGGCUGGGGAUGGGCCCGCGGCCUAUCAGCUUGUUGGUGGGGUAGUGGCCUACCAAGGCGACGACGGGUAGCCGGCCUGAGAGGGUGACCGGCCACACUGGGACUGAGACACGGCCCAGGCUCCUACGGGAGGCAGCAGUGGGGAAUAUUGCGCAAUGGGCGAAAGCCUGACGCAGCGACGCCGCGUGGGGGAUGACGGCCUUCGGGUUGUAAACCUCUUUCAGCAGGGACGAAGCGAAAGUGACGGUACCUGCAGAAGAAGCACCGGCCAACUACGUG
rnacentral:rRNA from 1 species